UCAGGUGUUUCCUCCUUUGCCAGCUCUUCAGGUGUUUCUUUAGCUGCCGGUUCUUCAGGUUUCUCUUCAACCUCCGGUUCUUGUGGUAUUUCCUCUACUUGUACUUCAGAUUUCUCCUCAAUUGUUGGUUCUUCAGGUUUCUCUCUAACCGCUGCUGCAUUAGGUUUCUCUUCAUUGGCUGGUUCUUCAGGUUUUUCUUCAACUACCGAUUCUUCAGGAUUUUCCUCAAUGUUUGGAAAGGGAGCGACAUCAUUAUUGGUAUUGCAUGGAAUUUCACUGCCAGUUUUGUCAUUCAAGUCCACAACUAGUAUAUUCUGCAAAAGAGUUUAAUGUUUCACUUAGUCUUUCAAUAAAGAAGCAGAUGCGAAUCAUUACAUAUACAUAACUAAUAACAUGGAUAAACUUUAUGACAGUAGUUGACCCUUACCUUUUCCACAAGAGUUACUUUUGCAGGUUUCUCCUCUUCAAGUGCUGGUUUCUCUUCAAAUGAUAGUUCAUUAGGUGUUUCUUCCCGUGUUGGUUCUUCAUGUGCUUCUUCAGUUACUGGUUUUUCAGGUUUCUCCUCAAUUGUUGGUUCUUCGCUUGUCUUCUCAACUGAUGGUUCCUCAUGCUUCUCUCCCGUUGUUGAUUUUUCGGGUUUCUCUUCAGUUGUCGAUGGUUCAGUUUUUUUCUCAACCGCUGGUUCUUUUGGCUUCUCCAAAACCAUUUCCGAUUUCUCUUCAGUUGGUGGUUCUUCAUGGUUUUUUUCAACUACUGGUUCUUCUCUUUUUUCCUCAACUGAUGCAUAGUCAGCAAUAUCGUUGUUGGUAUUGCUUGGAAUUGCAUUGUCUGUCUUGUCCUUUGAGCUUACAAUUGGCAUAUUCUGCUAGAAAAAUAUAAAGUUUCAUGUAGUCUUUCAACAGAGAAACCAAUGUAAAUUUGUUGCACAUAUAAAGCUAACAAAUAUGAUGGAUAGACUUUGCGAGAGUGUUUAAUACUCACCUUCUCCGGAAGAGCUUCCGUUUCAGGUUCCUCUUCAAUUUCUGCUUUUUCAUCUUUCUCUUCAACAACUAGUUCUUCAGGUGUCUCUUCAACCGUUGAUUCUUCAGGUUUCUCUUCAAGUGUUAGUUCUUGAGGUGUUUCCUCCUUUGCUAGCUCUUCAGGUGUUUCUGUAACUGCCGGUUCUUCAGGUUCCUCUUCAGCCACCGGCUGUUGACGUAUCUCCUCUACUUGUACUUCAGAUUUCUCCUCAAUUGUUGGUUCUUCAGGUUUCUCCUUAACCGCUGGUACAUCAGGUUUAUCCUCAUUGACUGGUUCUUCAACUGCUGAUUCUUCUAGAUUUUCCUCAAUGUCUGGAAAGCGAGCAACAUCAUUAUUGGUAUUGCAUGGAAUUUCAUUUCCAGUUUCGUUAUUCGAGUCUACAAUUAGCAUAUUCUGCAAAAAGAAUUUAAUGUUUCAUUUAGCCUUUCAAUAAAGAAGCAUAUGCGAAUAACAGUACAUGCAUAACUAACAAAAUGGAUAAACUUUGUGAUAGUGCUUGAUCCUUACCUUUGCCAAAAGAGUUACCUUUUCAGGUUUCUCCUCUUCAACGGUUGGUUCUUCAUGUUUCUUUUCAAAUGCUAGUUCCUUGGUUGUUUCUUCCGGUGUUGGUUCCAUAGGUGUUUCUUCAGUUACUUGUUUUUCGGGUUUCUCUUCAAUUAUUGGUUCUUCGAUUGUCUUCUCAACUGAUGGUUCUUCAAGAUUUUCUCCCACUGUUGGUUUUUGGGGUUUCUCUUCUAUUGUUGGUUGUUCAGGAAUUUUCUCAACUGGUGGUUCUGCUGGAUAUUCCAAAACCAUUGAUUCUUCAGAUUUCUCUUCAAUUGAUGGUUCUUCAUGGGUUUUUUCAACUACUGGUUCUUCAAUUUUUUCCUCAACAGAUGCAUAGUCAACAAUAUCAUUAUUGGUAUUGCUUGGAAUUGCAUCGUCUGUCAUGUCCUUUGAGUUUACUUUUGGCAUAUUCUGCAAUAGAGUUUCAUGUAAUCUUUCAACAGAUAAACAGAUGUAAAUUUGUUGCACAUAUAAAGCUAAUAUGGUGGAUAAACUUUGUGACAGUGUUUAAUCCUCACCUUCUCCUGAAGAUCUUCCGCUUCAAGUUCCUCCUCUACAAUUGCAGUUUUUUCCUCUUCCCCUUCAACAACUAGUUCUUCAGGUGCCUCUUCAGCCGUUGAUUCUUCAGGUUUCUCUUCAAGUGCUAGUUCUUCAGGUGUUUCCUCCUUUGCCAGCUCUUCAGGUGUUUCUUUAGAUGCCGAUUCUUCAGGUUUCUCUUCAGCCAUCGGUUCUUGAGGUAUUUCCUCUACUUGUACUUCAUAUUUCUCCUCAAUUGUUUGUUCUUCAGGUUUCUCUUCAGGUUUCUCCUUAACCACUGGUACAUCAGGUUUCUCUUGAUUAACUGGUUCUUUGGGUUUUUCUUCAACAGCCGAAUCUUCAGGAUUUUCCUCAAUGUCUUGAAAGCAAGCAAUAUCUUUAGUGGUAUUGCAUGGAAUUUCACUGCCAGUUUUGUUGUUCGAGUCUACAAUUAGCAUAUUCUGCAAAAGGAAUUUGAUGUUUCAUUUAGCCUUUUAAUAAAGAAGCAGAUGUGAAUAACAUUACAUGCAUAACUUACAAAAUGGAUAAAUUUUGUGACAGUCCUUGACCCUUACCUUUUCAGGUUUCUCCUCUUCAACAGCUGAUUCUUCAUGUUUCUCUUCAAAUGCUAGUUCUCUGGGUGUUUCUUCCCGUAGUGCUUCUUCAUGUGCUUCUUCAGUUACUGGUUUUUCAGGUUUCUCCUCAAUUGUUGGUUCUUUGAUUGUCUCCUCAACAGAUGGUUCUUCAAGCUUCUCUCCCGUUGUUGAUUUUUCUGGUUUCUCUUCAAUUGCUGGUUGUUCAGGAAUUUUCUCAACAGCUGGUUCUUCUGGCUUCUCUAAAACCAUUGAUUCUUCAGCUUUCUCUUCAAUUGAUGGUUCUUCAUGGUUUUUUUCAACUAUUGGUUCUUCAGUUUUUUCCUCAACGGAUGCAUAGUCAACAAUAUCAUUGUUGGUAUUGCUUGGAAUUGCAUCGUCUGUCAUGUCCUUUGAGUUUACUUUUGGCAUAUUCUACAAUAAAGUUUCAUGUAGUCUUUCAAUAGAUAAACAGAUGUAAAUUUGUUGCAACAUAUAAAGCUAAUAUGGUGGAUAAACUUUGUGACAGUGUUUAAUCCUCACCUUCUCCCGAAGAUCUUCCGCUUUAAGUUCCUCCUCUUCAAUUGCUGUUUUUUCAUCUUUCGUUUCAACAACUAGUUCUUCAGGUGCCUCUUCAGCCGUUGAUUCUUCAGGUUUUUCUUCAAGUGCCAGCUCUUCAGGUGUUUCCUCCUUUGCCAUCUCUUCAGGUGUUUCCUCCUUUGCCAGCUCUUCAGGUGUUUCUUUAGCUGCUGGUUCUUCAGGUUUCUCUUCAGCCGCCAGUUCUUGAGGUAUCUCCUUUUCUACUUCAGAUUUCUCCUCAACUGUUGGUUCUUCAG
rnacentral:lncRNA from 1 species